UUUAAUUGAAGAGUUUGAUCAUGGCUCAGAUUGAACGCUGGCGGCAGGCCUAACACAUGCAAGUCGAGCGGCAGCACAGAGGAACUUGUUCCUUGGGUGGCGAGCGGCGGACGGGUGAGUAAUGCCUGGGAAAUUGCCCGGUAGAGGGGGAUAACCUAUUGGAAACGAUGGCUAAUACCGCAUAACCUCGUAAGAGCAAAGCAGGGGACCUUCGGGCCUUGCGCUACCGGAUAUGCCCAGGUGGGAUUAGCUAGUUGGUGAGGUAAGGGACUCACCAAGGCGACGGAUCCCUAGCUGGUACUGUAGAGGAUGAUCAGCCACACUGGAACUGAGACACGGUCCAGACUCCUACGGGAGGCAGCAGUGGGGAAUAUUGCACAAUGGGCGCAAGCCUGAUGCAGCCAUGCCGCGUGUAUGAAGAAGGCCUUCGGGUUGUAAAGUACUUUCAGUAGGGAGGAAAGGUGGUUAAAGCUAAUACCUUAAUCAUUUGACGUUACCUACAGAAGAAGCACCGGCUAACUCCGUGCCAGCAGCCGCGGUAAUACGGAGGGUGCAAGCGUUAAUCGGAAUUACUGGGCGUAAAGCGCAUGCAGGUGGUUUGUUAAGUCAGAUGUGAAAGCCCUGGGCUCAACCUAGGAAUCGCAUUUGAAACUGACAAGCUAGAGUACUGUAGAGGGGGGUAGAAUUUCAGGUGUAGCGGUGAAAUGCGUAGAGAUCUGAAGGAAUACCGGUGGCGAAGGCGGCCCCCUGGACAGAUUACUGACACUCAGAUGACGAAAGCGUGGGGAGCAAAACAGGAUUAGAUACCCUGGUAGUCCACGCCGUAAACGAUGUCUACUUGGAGGUUGUGACCUAGAGUCGUGGCUUUCGGAGCUAACGCGUUAAGUAGACCGCCUGGGGAGUACGGUCGCAAGAUUAAAACUCAAAUGAAUUGACGGGGGCCCGCACAAGCGGUGGAGCAUGUGGUUUAAUUCGAUGCAACGCGAAGAACCUUACCUACUCUUGACAU
rnacentral:rRNA from 1 species